GAUGAACGCUAGCGACAGGCCUAACACAUGCAAGUCGAGGGGCAUCACGGGAGUAGCAAUACAACUGGUGGCGACCGGCGCACGGGUGAGUAACACGUAUGCAACCUGCCUGUAAGUGGGGAAUAACCCGUUGAAAGACGGACUAAUACCGCAUAAUACUGGACAUCUGCAUGGAUAUUCAGUUAAACAUUUAUGGCUUACAGAUGGGCAUGCGCAUGAUUAGAUAGUUGGAGAGGUAACGGCUCCCCAAGUCAACGAUCAUUAGGGGUUCUGAGAGGAAGGUCCCCCAACUGGUACUGAGACACGGACCAGACUCCUACGGGAGCAGCAGUGAGGAAUAUUGGUCAAUGGCGAGAGCCUGAACCAGCCAAGUCGCGUGCAGGAAGAAUGUCCUAUGGAUUGUAAACUGCUUUUGCAGGGGAAUAAAGUUCAGCACGUGUGCUUGUUUUGUAUGUACUCUGCGAAUAAGGAUC
rnacentral:rRNA from 1 species